rnacentral:rRNA from 1 species
UACGUAGGGUGCAAGCGUUGUCCGGAAUCACUGGGCGUAAAGGGCGCGUAGGCGGCCUGGUAAGUAGGGGGUGAAAUCCUGCGGCUCAACCGCAGGGCUGCCUUCUAAACUGUCAGGCUAGAGCACAGUAGAGGCAGGUGGAAUUCCCGGUGUAGCGGUGGAAUGCGUAGAGAUCGGGAAGAACAUCAGUGGCGAAAGCGACUUCCUGGACCAGAACUGACGAUCAGGCACGAAAGCGUGGGGAGCAAACAGG